rnacentral:rRNA from 1 species
AUUCCAGCUCCAAUAGCGUAUAUUAAAGUUGUUGCAGUUAAAAAGCUCGUAGUUGGAUUUGUGGCUUGUCGAGUGGUCCUCCUUUUUGGGGGUACUGUUUUGGUGAGUCAUCCUUGGGUGGAGGCUGUGUGGCAUUAGGUUGUCGCGCAGUUGAUGCCCAUCGUUUACUGUGAGAAAAUUAGAGUGUUCAAAGCAGGCUUAUGCCGUUGAAUAGAUUAGCAUGGAAUAAUGAGAUAGGACCUUGGUACUAUUUUGUUGGUUUGCGCACCGAGGUAAUGAUUAAUAGGGACAGUUGGGGGUAUUCGUAUUCCAUUGUCAGAGGUGAAAUUCUUGGAUUUCUGGAAGACGAACAACUGCGAAAGCAUUUACCAAGGAUGUUUUC